rnacentral:rRNA from 1 species
UACAGAGGGGGCAAGCGUUGUUCGGAAUUAUUGGGCGUAAAGGGCGCGUAGGCGGUGCGGUAAGUCACCUGUGAAAUCUCUGGGCUCAACCCAGAGUCUGCAGGCGAAACUGCCGUGCUUGAGUGUCGGAGAGGUAAGUGGAAUUCCCGGUGUGGCGGUGAAAUGCGUAGAUAUCGGGAGGAACACCUGUGGCGAAAGCGGCUUACUAGACGACAACUGACGCUGAGGCGCGAAAGCUAGGGGAGCAAACAGG